rnacentral:rRNA from 1 species
UACGUAGGUGGCAAGCGAUACUCGGAAUCACUAGGCGUAAAGCGCAGGUAGGCGGUUUGGUAAGUUUCUUGUGAAAGCUCCCGGCUUAACUGGGAGAGGCCAAGGAAAACUGCCAGGCUAGAGUGUGGUAGAGGAAGCUGGAAUUCCCGGUGUAGUGGUGAAAUGCGUAGAGAUCGGGAGGAACACCUGUGGCGAAGGCGGCUCGCUGGGCCGGUCCUGACGCUGAGACGCGAAGGCGCGGGGAGCGAACGGG